GCGGAGGAAAAGAACUAACAAGGAUUCCCCUAGUAACGGCGAGUGAAGCGGGAAGAGCUCAAAUUUAAAAUCUGGNNGUGUAUUCUGUCCGAGUGGUAGUCUAGAGAAGCAUCAUCCGUGCUGGACCAUGUACAAGUCUCUUGGAACAAAGCGUCAUAGAGGGUGAGAAUCCCGUCCUUGACAUGGACUCCCAGUACUUUGUGUUGUGCUCUCAACGAGUCGAGUUGUUUGGGAAUGCAGCUCAAAAUGGGUGGUAAAUUCCAUCUAAAGCUAAAUAUUGGCGAGAGACCGAUAGCGAACAAGUACCGUGAGGGAAAGAUGAAAAGCACUUUGGAGAGAGAGUUAAACAGUACGUGAAAUUGUUGAAAUGGAAACGCUUGAAGUCAGUCGCGUUCUCUGGGAUUCAGCCUGCUUUUGCUUGGUGCAUUUCCGGUCUACGGGCCANCAUGAAUUUUGACCAAUGGAAAAAGGCUUGGGGAAUGUGGCACCUUCGGGUGUGUUAUAGCCCNUUGUCACAUACAUUGGUUGGGAUUGAGGCUUAGUGCACGCUUCGGUUGUGCUUUGAUGCUGGCGUAAUGGCUUUAAACGACCCGUCUUGAAACACGGACCAAGGAGUCUAACAUGUCUGCGAGUGUUUGGGUGCAAAACCCGAGCGCGAAAUGAAA
rnacentral:rRNA from 1 species